rnacentral:tRNA from 1 species
GCCUGGAUAGCUCAGUUGGUUAGAGCAUGGUGCCGAUAACUCCAAGGCUGCAGGUUCGAGGCCCAUAUGAGACA